rnacentral:rRNA from 1 species
CCCUUAGAUGGUCUGGGCGGCACGCGCGCUACAAUGAUGCAUUCAAAAAGUCUUCUGACCUUAGAAGGUUGGAUAUUCUCCAAAGUGCAUCGUGAUGGGAAUAGUUUAUUGCAAUUUUUAAUCUUGAACGAGGAAUUCCUAGUAAGUACAGGUCAUCAACUUGUGUUGAUUACGUCCCUGCCCUUUGUACACACCGCCCGUCGCUCCUACUGAUUGAGUGUCUCGGUGAAUUCUUUGAUCUUCUGUCGAUUCAGUUCACUGAUCCGACGGUGGAAAGUUGAAUGAACUUCGUCACUUAGAGGAAGGAGAAGUCGUAACA